rnacentral:rRNA from 1 species
AGUGAACGCUGGCGGUAGGCCUAACACAUGCAAGUCGAACGGCAGCACAGUAAGAGCUUGCUCUUACGGGUGGCGAGUGGCGGACGGGUGAGGAAUACAUCGGAAUCUACUUUUUCGUGGGGGAUAACGUAGGGAAACUUACGCUAAUACCGCAUACGACCUACGGGUGAAAGCAGGGGAUCUUCGGACCUUGCGCGAUUGAAUGAGCCGAUGUCGGAUUAGCUAGUUGGCGGGGUAAAGGCCCACCAAGGCGACGAUCCGUAGCUGGUCUGAGAGGAUGAUCAGCCGCACUGGAACUGGACCACGGUCCAGACUCCUGCGGGAGGCAGCAGUGGGGAAUAUUGGACAAUGGGGGCAAGCCUGAUCCAGCCAUACCGCGUGGGUGAAGAAGGCCUUCGGGUUGUAAAGCCCUUUUGUUGGGAAAGAAAAGCAGCAGGUUAAUACCCCGCUGUUCUGACGGUACCCAAAGAAUAAGCACCGGCUAACUUCGUG